AUGGUCAGCCUGGACUACCAGCUAAAACAGAAAUUGCAAGUUUUCCAGAAUUGGACAAGGAGAUUCGUGUGCAAGCACCCAUCGCCAGAUGUCCUCAGAAUGGCAAAUCAUCUGAAAGUUGCAUCCCGAAGGAUGGGGCUGAGCAAGAUAUUCAUGUUGAAGAAGGUUGUCAGCCUGGUUUACCUAGUAAAACAGACAUCCCAGUUCCUCCAGAAGUAAAAAAGGAAGGAGGGUCUCUUAAAGUGUCAUGCCACAUGGAUGUAAAACCUGCAAGAAUGAUAGACAAUGCAAUAUCCCAAGUGUGUGCAAGGGGUCAAUCGGUAAUGGCUGUUCAGAAAGAGCUCCAAAGGGAGAUCAAAGGAAUUCCUCGUAGUCAACACAGUUCCGGCAAAGACGUCUUAACCAGACAACAGACAUUUGAUUCUGAAGAGGCUAAUUUAUCACCAAACAAUGUAGUUGUCUGUACCAAACAACAGGUGAGUGAUUCAGGAGAAGCCACUGAAUCUCCAGGCACUGAGAUCUCUAGGAACAUUAGUCUGGUUGAAACUAUUUAUUUAAAGAGGAUGAAGAAGCUCUUGUCGUAUCAGUCAAUGAAUUGUACACAAUUCAAGAAAGAUAGAGACGGAGUUAAGGAGGAAUUGAUAGCAAACUUAAGAAAGGAACACUUACUUUUAUCAGCUCUUGUACGUACGAUGCAUACCCAAAUUCAAGUGAGAAUUGCUGAACGAAGUUAGUGGAUAAGGAGUUCAUAAGGAAAGUACAGAUUCUCGAAAAUUAUUUGGAUACAGAGCAAAAAAAGCUCAAAACCAUGCUUAAAGCUGCUAAAAACGAAGAGAAAGAUCUGAAGUAUCACUGGUUGCAAGAGGCGAAAUCUGGAAGGACGGUGGAUGUGUUUUCGAUUCUCCCACAAUUCUUAUAUUCCUAUCUCAAUCUGGAUGGUCUGAAGAAUCCUUCUGAACGCCUAUUGCUUAACAGUUCCAAUAAUGCGAAUUCAGUUCUCCCACAUGCCCUGCAAAUAGAGCUGCCCACAGCUAUGGAUUCAGUCACCGAGCCCGUUCUAACAAAUGAAUCUGAAGGCUGCACUCCACUUGUUGUGCAAUUACAAAGUUCUCUACCCACAAAUGCACCCUCUGAACCUGGAAAUGGUACACGUGUAUCAGAAAAUUCAAGGCUGUGUCAGCCGAUUAAGGAGGAGAAUCAGGUUCCAAUUCUGAAUUUCAACAAAGAAUUGGUAGUCUGGAUGGAGUUCAACCAGUGAAAUUCCGUGAAGAAUUGAAAGUGUGUAUCAAUACUGAUUUUGUGGAUACUGCAUCAGCUCAGAAGAAACGAGCAGUCGGCACAAGUUUCAAUCGAGAUAAAGUGCAGCUCAAAGUUAGAGGAGAACCAACCCCAUGCUCCAAUGUUAAACUGGAAAGAAAAGUUGAUCAGACUGGACUACCCGUUGGAACAGAAGAUUCGAGUAAUGUGAAAGUAAAACUAGAGAAGAGUCUUGACCCAUAUGACCAGUUUGGGGUUGAAAGAACAAGUCAUUGGUGGGAUCCUGUUACAGCACCAGGGCUUCGUGUUGGCUCUCCUGCAAAUGUAAUUUGCAUACCCGCAGACCUUGAUGUUAUUUGCAUAUCUGAUGACGAUACUUGAUCUACAUAAGCUUCUAAGAGGGACGGAUUGCAUCCUACAGGGUUCUUUUUGUGGUUUUAAAUACGAUACCAAAAUGGUUGAUCAUUUGUCCUACUGUUCUCCUAACAAUGCAUAGUGUAGACUGUAGAGU